CUGCCCUGCACAGGGGGACAACAGCUAGAAAUGGCUGCUAAUACCGCAUAAGCCUACAGCCUCGCAUGAGGGAGUAGGAAAAGAAAUUCGGUGCAGGAUGAGUCCGCGUCUGAUUAGCUAGUUGGAGGGGUAAAAGCCCACCAAGGCAACAAUCAGUAGCCGGCCUGAGAGGGCGACCGGCCACAUUGGGACUGAGACACGGCCCAAACUCCUACGGGAGGCAGCAGUGGGGAAUAUUGCACAAUGGGGGAAACCCUGAUGCAGCGACGCCGCGUGAGCGAGGAAGUAUUUCGGUAUGUAAAGCUCUAUCAGCAGGGACGAAAAAAGACGGUACCUGACUAAGAAGCCCCGGCUAACUACGUGCCAGCAGCCGCGGUAAUACGUAGGGGGCAAGCGUUAUCCGGAUUUACUGGGUGUAAAGGGAGCGUAGACGGCAAGGCAAGCCAGAAGUGAAAGGGCAGGGCUCAACCCUGUACAUGCUUUUGGAACUGUGGUGCUAGAGUGCAGGAGAGGUAAGUGGAAUUCCUAGUGUAGCGGUGAAAUGCGUAGAUAUUAGGAGGAACACCAGUGGCGAAGGCGGCUUACUGGACUGUAACUGACGUUGAGGCUCGAAAGCGUGGGGAGCAAACAGGAUUAGAUACCCUGGUAGUCCACGCUGUAAAC
rnacentral:rRNA from 1 species